rnacentral:rRNA from 1 species
CCUACGGGUGGCAGCAGUGAGGAAUAUUGGUCAAUGGGCGUAAGCCUGAACCAGCCAAGUCGCGUGAGGGAUGAAGGUUCUAUGGAUCGUAAACCUCUUUUAUAAGGGAAUAAAGUGCGGGACGUGUCCCGUUUUGUAUGUACCUUAUGAAUAAGGAUCGGCUAACUCCGUGCCAGCAGCCGCGGUAAUACGGAGGAUCCGAGCGUUAUCCGGAUUUAUUGGGUUUAAAGGGUGCGUAGGCGGCCUUUUAAGUCAGCGGUGAAAGUCUGUGGCUCAACCAUAGAAUUGCGGUUGAAACUGGGAGACUGGAGUAUGUUGGAGGCAGGCGGAAUGCGUGGUGUAGCGGUGAAAGGCUUAGAUAGCACGCAGAACACCGAUGGCGAAGGCAGCCGGACAAGCCAUGACUGACGCUGAUGCACGAAAGCGUGGGGAGCAAACAGGAGUAGAUACCCCUGUAGUC